UUAUAGUUAUUCCUUAAAAGCUAAUUGUUAAAAAAGCUUAAAAUAAAGUGUUAGUAGUGCAGUUAGUAAAUUAUUAAAGGGUGCUGUGUGGCUAAUAAAAGCGGUUCGCAUUCCAAGGGAAUUGCGUGCAAUUGAACCUAGUGGAAAAAGGCCUAACGAGGCCUUUUUCCAUUUGUUUAGGCCAGUCGUCUGGAUUUCCGGGAGAAACUGGUCCCAAACGCCCAACUUGCAUCUAUUUGGAAUUUUCCAGAACAAAUCAAAUCCCUGAGCCAGAAAUCUGCCCUGCUGGUACUCCUUUGGGGUAAAUAGCAGAAGAGGGAUCCUCGACAUCACCAUUGUCCAACCACGUUUUCGGGACUUUUGUUAGACCAUUCUGAUCCGGAGUUCGACGCCAUUGUUGGAGACGCCAUCUUGAAUCGACAGGCCGAAUCGAACGCUGAAAUAUCUUGGAAGUGAACCGGGCCCCGGCGAUAAUAGGCCCGGUCCACCCCCACGCAGCGACAGAGAAAAUAAUUGUUGCGCUUCCCACCAGAGGUUCUCCACCAUCGCUCCACCGUCAAGUCGGUUGAUUGGCCAAUCACUAUUGGUUCAUUCGGGCGACUUUUAUGGGUAGCAGAUCGAUCCAGAGGUUCCCCACCUUCACCGUAAGUGAGCCACCGAUCCACAGCAUCCAGAUAAACCGUAAGUCGCGCUGGUAUUAUUAAUUAAACCUAAAUUUUGUGCAAUAGGCAGUUACGUAAAUCGUGAUCACGAGGUUAGGCAAAUCUAGCUAGGUACCCAAAAGUAAGCU